UCUGCUGGCGUCAAUGCAGUUCAAAGGGUUCAUUGAGCUCCUUUCUCCCUUUUCUCCUUUCAUUUUUAGUGAAGGGGUUAUUUUUUUUGCCAUUUACUUCAUGCAUUCCAGCCACCAAUCCUUCACAUUUUAUAUCCUUUGCAAGGAAGUGUAAACAGUGUUGGCAAAGCAGGCCAUCUAAUUUUACAUGGACUUGGGAGUAUGAACAUGCGAAAGGUUUUUCAUGAAAAAGGAGUAAACAGGGUGGAAAUGUGUGAAUGAAAUAUCGGUGACGUCAUAGAGGGGGGAGGUUUGCAAAAGAAGCGCCUCCGCAGCCGAAAACUGCGCACAAUGAGACAAAUAGCCACUUUUGUUUUUAUUAUCUCAAGUUUCUGCUUGGAUUCAGGGGGUAAGAUUCACUUUAUUUCGCUUCUUUUGGGUUCUUGGAGCUUUUCAAAAGUUUCCCAGCAUUUGUUGAAUGUUGAAAAUGUUUAUGAUCUUCGCAUUGGUUUAUUUCCUAAACGUAAGAUCAUUCCAAUAUGACCGUAAUGUUGUUUGAAUGAACCUAAGAUGGGUAGUUUUUAAACCCCUUCUUAUUUUUCAGAUGUUUUCUCACAAGGAAUUCACAGUUCAGUUUGAUACCAAAUGCGCCAUUUGUUACUAAACCCGCUAAUCCGGGUGUGUUUGGGCAUCUGAAACUCCUUAACUUCGAUGAAUGGUUUCGCUAAAUGAGCCGAUCCAUCUCUCGCUGCCAAGUUGUUCAAAUCCGGUCAUUUCAGGUCAGUGAGAAGCAGCUUCUAGAGGGGGGAGGGCAGCUCUCAGCAUCCAAACACUGCAGCCAGUGACUUUCUGCACGAACUUUAGUUAAACAAAUUAAUAAAUAUUGGCCACCGUCCAGGUUUGAAAGUGACUCACCUGCAGGAGCGGGUGAAGACAUUCCCCCCCCCCCCCGUCACGUGAAUGAAUGAGAUGGCACAGGGCGGACCGAACGUCCCCCCCCCAUGGAGCAAACGUGGGGGAAAGAAGAGAUUCCGUCGGCUGGACGUGGAGGCUGCCGACGCUUCAGGUUGGGAUGCAUGUUUGGGCCGACUUUUAAACCGGCCGCAUGAAUCAAAGAGAUUUGUUUUGUUGUUGUUUUUUCCGCGGAUGAAUAUUUUAUAUACGGUAACGUAAGAAGCGGCAGCGUGAAGGACAGGCUGGCUGCGUUUUUUUUUUUAAAUGUGCCAUGGAGAAUCAUCAACAGGCGGGUCCGAAUAGUUGAGGCACCGUUGUUCAUUUUCAUCUUCCACAAAAUGCUGCGUCAAUUUGAUGCUUUCGCCGCACGAAUCAGAAAAGCGUUUUUUGGUAAUAACGUUGUCCAAUAGUCGAGAUCUCAUUGGUGGAUCCGAACCCAACCCCCCCCCCCUGCACGUCCUGCAGCCAUUACCGUGGCUCCUCAAACCAUGUGGCAUUCUUGGCCCAGACCCCCAUCAUACUCUCAGAAACCCCCCCCCCCCCCCCCCAAACACACACCUCUUUCGCUCUUGUCACAAGUUCCAACUAUUAAAAACCAUCAAGCAUUUAAAAAACACACACUAAUGUAAUACUGUAAGUGAGGAACCUCAAAGCCACCCAACUGAUCUGACGUCGGUUAUUCACUGCCUAUCGGCCGUGUGUCCUAACAGCGCCGUGUAGGCUACAAGUAAAACUGUUCCCAGACCAGUGACUGGGGGGACUUGCCGUGAAUAGCGACACCCGUCGGCUCGCUGCGGACAAUCACUUGCACGGUGCUGCUCACCAAACGCGGUUUGAAAACUGAUGCUUAUUAUUUCAUACAUAUUUAAUAACUAUUAUGAGUUCAUAAAGGAAAUGAAAAGCGAGGUAUUUAAGUAAUACGAACUUAUAUUUACGAAUCACAAUGAGUUUGUUUGAACUAUAAUGGGGAGGUGGGAAUCCGCUCAUCCGGUUGACGGGUUCGCCAUGUUGGAAAAAAGUCGAAAAGUGUGAUGCUGUUCAAUAUUUGACACCUCGCGGGAAGUUUUACGUUUUAACGAAUAGUUUCAACUACAGAAAACGUAUAAAAUUAUACAUGUACAAACGUUGAAACGAUAACAUUGGCAAGUGGGCGGGAGUUAGUUCAUUAAUACUUUUCCGCUGAGCUAUAUAGUUCCUCAGGAAUCAUCGAGCUUUCAUUUCCGGUUAGCGCAUUGAUAUUUCCGUGGGGUCACAGGUGUGUGCGUGUGUGUGUGUGUGUGUGUGCGUGUUUGUGUGUGCGCGCGCGCGCGCUCAUUGGUUGCUUGAGAAAGUCUUCAAACGUGUCAGCCAAUAACAAAUCACCUGUUUCAAAAUACUUUUUUAGACAGAAAAGGUCUAUCAACUAUUUCAGACUCAAGGUCUAUAUAAACUUAUACACACACACACACACACACACACACACACACACACACACACAUAUAAAAAUAAAAAUAAGGCUUUAAAGGAUUUAAUACCGAUUUUACCGGGUGGCCGAGCGCCCCCUGGUGGGUCAUCGUGCUCUCCUGCAAUCCCGCACGUAUGCAUUGCUAAUGUGUGGUACGAUGAUUAAAGGGGGAGUGGGCUUUUAUUGGUCA